rnacentral:rRNA from 1 species
UACGCUGGCGGCACGCCUAACACAUGCAAGUCGAACGAAGUAGCAAUACUUAGUGGCAGACGGGUGAGUAACAUGUAGGUAUCUGCCCUUUGGCCUGGAAUAACACGAGGAAACUUGUGCUAAUACCGGAUAAGUCUUUACGGAGAAAGCUUUAUGCACCAUUGGAUGAGCCUGCACUUGAUUAGUUUGUUGGUGGGGUAAUGGCCUACCAAGACUGUGAUCAAUAGCUGAUUUGAGAGGAUGAUCAGCCACAUUGGGACUGAGACACGGCCCAAACUCCUACGGGAGGCAGCAGUGGGGAAUCUUGCACAAUGGAGGAAACUCUGAUGCAGCGAUGCCGCGUGAGUGAAGAAGGCCCUUGGGUUGUAAAGCUCUUUCGUCGGGGA